rnacentral:rRNA from 1 species
GAUAAACGCUGGCGGCGUGCCUAACACAUGCAAGUCGAACGUCCUCUCUCGCAAGAGAGAGGGAGUGGCGGACGGGUGAGUAACACAUGGGUCACCUACCCUUAAGUGAGGAAUACCGGCGAGAAAUCGCCGACAAGACCGCAUAGGCUCUCUCUUUUGCAAGAGAGAGCAAAGCUUCGCAAGAGGCGCUUGAGGAUGGGCCUGUGGCCGAUUAGCUGGNGGUAGGGUAAGUGGCUUACCAAGGCGACGAUCGGUAGCUGGUCUGAGAGGACGAUCAGCCACACUGGGA